GAUUGUUGUUAGGAAAAAACACGUAAUUUUCUCAUUUACGAUACAUUUUUCUAAAAACCGUAGAGUGGCGCCACUGCAGUAUUUGUUUGGUCGACAUACCACGUUGGUUGUAGUGAAUGCACCUUGCAGUAAGGCGGUAUUUGAGUUAUAUUUUAGAAGUGCCUAGACAAAAUCUGCUCCUUGUCGUGUGCAGUAACCAUCGCAAACCCUCCGGACUUGUGUAACGCCGUUAGUUCGCCGUGUGUUUCGUGCGAUCUACCAGUGUCGACAGUGAGUGUCUUACUACAGCGCCCGUCCGAGCUGCCUUUGUUCUGCCGAGCUGCCUGCCCGCGCUCUCGUGAAAAGUCUGGUACUGGAGCUUCGAAUCGUAGUGUAUGGAAGACUGUUGAAGGUUGUGCUUUUGUGGAGCUGGAGUUCAUCGGAAGUUCUACAGUGCUUGCGCCAGAAAAACGUCGGUGCCUCGGUACCUUUGAGACGAAGGAGCGUUGGCCAAGUCUUUUUGAAAGGCUAUGCGGAUUCUGGAGGCAUCCCUACAUCAAGCAGGAACCUGCUGCACUGCUGGAAGCUGGACAGCACGACAAUAAAGCACGUGAUCUGUGUGCUUUCUCAAAGGUAGACAUCGGCGACGGUGUAUAUGUUGAAAAGUGCCUGCUGAAGAGGCUGCGCCUGGAUGCUAACAACUCAGGCUUUCAGUUCGCGGGGGGCCUCCUUAAGGCUCCUUUUACAAAAGAAGAGGUUGAAGGGAGGCGCUACACAUGGAUGCGCAGCGAUUGUUUGUGACAUCGUCACUGCUGGCAGGCCUGGCCUGCCUUUUCGCUUCGUUCUGGGUCUUCCACGUU
rnacentral:lncRNA from 1 species